rnacentral:tRNA from 1 species
GUGUGCGUAAUUUAAAAAAAAUAUCAAGCUGUGACCAUGACAAUAGGAACUAGCUCCUCGCACACC